GACUACGAGAGCUGAUAAAUGAAGUAGAUCCAAAUGAGCAGUUGGAUUUGGAGGUUGAAGAUCUAAUGAUGCAAUUAUCAGAUGAUUUUAUUGAAGAAAUAAUCAAAGGAGCUUGCUCAUUUUCUAAACAUAGGAAAUCAAAUAUUGUAGAAGCUCAAGACGUCCAAAUUUACCUGGGUAACUAAAUUGAUAAAGUACCUAAUUUUCUAAUAAUUUAUGAAUAAAAAUUCAAGCAGCAUUUUUUUUUCAGAUCGAUAUACAAACAUUAAUUUAUCAAGAUACAAUACACAUAAAAUAAAACUAAAUAAAAAAGGCCCAAUAACUAGAGCCAAGGAAAACGUAUGGCAUUGAUGAAGAAAACUACAGUAACAAAAGAAUAUUAAUUCAAUCCAUGAUACACAUGCAGAGACUUCAUCAACAUAUUAUGCAACUUACAGUAAAAUAUAUAAUGCACUAAGUUAGAAUUAAAUAAAAUGUCAACAUAAAAAUGUUUGAGUUCAUGAUACCCAUCUUCAAUUUCCAAAGUUUUCAUAAAGUUUGUUAAGCACACUCACAUGUAAUUUAAUUUAUUUGGUUUAUUAGACCAUUAAAGUCGGUAC